UACGAGGGGGGCAAGCGUUGUUCGGAAUUAUUGGGCGUAAAGGGUGCGUAGGCGGUCUGAUAAGUCAUCUGUGAAAUCUAUGGGCUCAACCCAUAGUCUGCAGGCGAAACUGUCGGGCUUGAGUAUGGGAGAGGUGAGUGGAAUUUCCGGUGUAGCGGUGAAAUGCGUAGAUAUGUGGAGGAAUACCGAUGGCGAAGGCAGCCCCCUGGCCAAUACUGACGCUCAUGCACGAAAGCGUGGGGAGCAAACAGG
rnacentral:rRNA from 1 species